rnacentral:rRNA from 1 species
UACGUAGGGGGCGAGCGUUGUCCGGAUUUAUUGGGCGUAAAACGCUUGUAGGCGGCCACCGCGCGUCGGCCGUGAAAUCUCCACGCUUAACGUGGAGCGUGCGGUCGAUACGGGCAGACUUGAGUUCGGUAGGGGAGACUGGAAUUCCUGGUGUAGCGGUGAAAUGCGCAGAUAUCAGGAGGAACACCGGUGGCGAAGGCGGGUCUCUGGGCCGAUACUGACGCUGAGGAGCGAAAGCGUGGGGAGCGAACAGG